rnacentral:tRNA from 1 species
GGUGAUGUAGUUGUUAAGCGCUUGGCUGCUAAUCAAAAGGUUGGUGGUUUGAAUCCACCAGCCACUU